rnacentral:rRNA from 1 species
CGGAGAGUUUGAUCCUGGCUCAGGACGAACGCUGGCGGCAUGCCUAAUACAUGCAAGUCGAACGAACUCUGGUAUUGAUUGGUGCUUGCAUCAUGAUUUACAUUUGAGUGAGUGGCGAACUGGUGAGUAACACGUGGGAAACCUGCCCAGAAGCGGGGGAUAACACCUGGAAACAGAUGCUAAUACCGCAUAACAACUUGGACCGCAUGGUCCGAGCUUGAAAGAUGGCUUCGGCUAUCACUUUUGGAUGGUCCCGCGGCGUAUUAGCUAGAUGGUGGGGUAACGGCUCACCAUGGCAAUGAUACGUAGCCGACCUGAGAGGGUAAUCGGCCACAUUGGGACUGAGACACGGCCCAAACUCCUACGGGAGGCAGCAGUAGGGAAUCUUCCACAAUGGACGAAAGUCUGAUGGAGCAACGCCGCGUGAGUGAAGAAGGGUUUCGGCUCGUAAAACUCUGUUGUUAAAGAAGAACAUGCGUGAGAGUAACUGUUCACGUACUGACGGUAUUCAACCAGAAAGCCACGGCUAACUACGUGCCAGCAGCCGCGGUAAUACGUAGGUGGCAAGCGUUGUCCGGAUUUAUUGGGCGUAAAGAGAAUGUAGGCGGUUUAUUAAGUCUGAUGUGAAAGCCUUCGGCUCAACCGAAGAAGUGCAUCGGAAACUGGGAAACUUGAGUGCAGAAGAGGACAGUGGAACUCCAUGUGUAGCGGUGAAAUGCGUAGAUAUAUGGAAGAACACCAGUGGCGAAGGCGGCUUUCUGGUCUGUAACUGACGCUGAGAUUCGAAAGCAUGGGUAGCAAACAGGAUUAGAUACCCUGGUAGUCCAUGCCGUAAACGAUGAGUGCUAAGUGUUGG